CGCGAGAUAGAGCAGUUUGGUAGCUCGUCGGGCUCAUAACCCGAAGGUCGAUGGUUCAAAUCCGUCUCUCGCAA
rnacentral:tRNA from 1 species